UACGUAGGUGGCAAGCGUUGUCCGGAUUUACCGGGCGUAAAGAGCGCGCAGGCGGUUGGAUAAGUCGAAUGUGAAAGCCCCCGGCUUAACUGGGGAGGGUCAUUCGAUACUGUUCAACUUGAAGGCAGGAGAGGGCAGCAGAAUUCCCGGUGUAGUGGUGAAAUGCGUAGAUAUCGGGAGGAAUACCAGUGGCGAAGGCGGCUGCCUGGACCAAUACUGACGCUCAGGUGCGAAAGCGUGGGGAGCAAACAGG
rnacentral:rRNA from 1 species